CCGUUGGUAGUGCAGUUGGUUAAGCACACGCCCCCGGAAAGGGUGAAAUGCGAGUUCGCGUCCUGCCCGACGUCAA